rnacentral:piRNA from 1 species
UCCAAAAGUUCAGAAAUUUGCAGAGCCGU